rnacentral:sRNA from 1 species
AUUUAUUUUUUAAAAAAUACCGGAAGAAAUUUAUAAAAAUUAAUUUUAAUUUUGUUUUAUUUAAUAGAGCAUAUGAUAGAGCUGCUAUUAAAUUCCGUGGAGUAGAAGCGGAUAUCAAUUUCAACAUCGACGAUUAUGAUGAUGACUUGAAAC